CACGUAGGAGGCGAGCGUUAUCCGGAUUUACUGGGCGUAAAGCGCGUGUAGGCGGUUCGGUAAGUUGGAUGUGAAAUCUCCUGGCUCAACUAGGAGAGGUCGUUCAAUACUGCCAGACUAGAGGACGGUAGAGGAAGGUAGAAUUCCCGGUGUAGUGGUGAAAUGCGUAGAUAUCGGGAGGAAUACCAGUGGCGAAGGCGGCCUUCUGGGCCGUUCCUGACGCUCAGACGCGAAAGCGUGGGUAGCGAACGGG
rnacentral:rRNA from 1 species